rnacentral:rRNA from 1 species
UGCAAGUCGAACGAAGUAGCAAUACUUAGUGGCAGACGGGUGAGUAACAUGUAGGUAUCUGCCCUUUGGCCUGGAAUAACACGAGGAAACUUGUGCUAAUACUGGAUAAGUCUUUACGGAGAAAGCUUUAUGCACCAUUGGAUGAGCCUGCACUUGAUUAGUUUGUUGGUAGGGUAAUGGCCUACCAAGACUUUGAUCAAUAGCUGAUUUGAGAGGAUGAUCAGCCACAUUGGGACUGAGACACGGCCCAAACUCCUACGGGAGGCAGCAGUGGGGAAUCUUGCACAAUGGAGGAAACUCUGAUGCAGCGAUGCCGCGUGAGUGAAGAAGGCCUUUGGGUUGUAAAGCUCUUUCGUCGGGGAAGAAAAUGACUGUACCCGAAUAAGAAGGUCCGGCUAACUUCGCGCCAGCAGCCGCGGUAAUACGAAGGGACCUAGCGUAGUUCGGAAUUACUGGGCUUAAAGAGUUCGUAGGUGGUUGAAGAAGUUGGUGGUGAAAUCCCAGAGCUUAACUCUGGAACUGCCAUCAAAACUUUUCGGCUAGAGUUUGAUAGAGGAAAGCAGAAUUUCUAGUGUAGAGGUGAAAUUCGUAGAUAUUAGAAAGAA